CAAUCGGAUUACUGGGGCGUAAAAGCGUGCGUAGGCGGCUCGAUUAAGUCGGGAUGUGAAAUCCCUGAGCCUUAACUUAGGAAUUGCAUUCGAUACUGGUCAGCUAGAGUAUGGGAGAGGAUGGUAGAAUUCCAGGUGUACGGUGAAAUGCGUAGAGAUCUGGAGGAAUACCGAUGGCGAAGGCAGCCAUCUGGCCUAAUACCUGACGCUGAGGUACGAAAGCAUGGGGAGCAAACAGGAUUAGAUACCCUGGUAGUCCAUGCCGUAAACGAUGUCUACUAGCCGUUGGGGCCUUUGAGGCUUUAGUGGCGCAGCUAACGCGAUAAGUAGACCGCCUGGGGAGUACGGUCGCAAGACUAAAACUCAAAUGAAUUGACGGGGGCCCGCACAAGCGGUGGAGCAUGUGGUUUAAUUCGAUGCAACGCGAAGAACCUUACCUGGCCUUGACAUAGUAGAAACUUUCCAGAGAUGGAUUGGUGCCUUCGGGAAUCUACAUACAGGUGCUGCAUGGCUGUCGUCAGCUCGUGUCGUGAGAUGUUGGGUUAAGUCCCGCAACGAGCGCAACCCUUUUCCUUACUUGCCAGCAUUUCGGAUGGGAACUUUAAGGAUACUGCCAGUGACAAACUGGAGGAAGGCGGGGACGACGUCAAGUCAUCAUGGCCCUUACGGCCAGGGCUACACACGUGCUACAAUGGUCGGUACAAAGGGUUGCUACCUAGCGAUAGGAUGCUAAUCUCAAAAAGCCGAUCGUAGUCCGGAUUGGAGUCUGCAACUCGACUCCAUGAAGUCGGAAUCGCUAGUAAUCG
rnacentral:rRNA from 1 species